rnacentral:rRNA from 1 species
AGCAGCCGCGGUAAUUCCAGCUCCAAUAGCGUAUAUUAAAGUUGUUGCAGUUAAAAAGCUCGUAGUUGAAUUUCGGGGUUAGUAGGUUGGUCAUGCCUCUGGUAUGUACUGGUCUCACUGAUUCCUCCUUCCUGAUGAACCUUAAUGCCAUUAAUUUGGUGUUUUGGGGAAUUUGGACUGUUACUUUGAAAAAAUUAGAGUGUUUAAAGCAGGCUCACGCUUGAAUACAUUAGCAUGGAAUAAUGAAAUAGGACGUUCGAUCCUAUUUUGUUGGUUUUUAGGAUCAACGUAAUGAUUAAUAGGGGUAGUUGGGGGCAUUAGUAUUCAAUUGUCAGAGGUGAAAUUCUUGGAUUUAUUGAAGACUAACUACUGCGAAAGCAUUUGCCAAGGAUGUUUUCAUUAAUCAAGAACGAAAGUUAGGGGAUCGAAGACGAUCAGAUACCGUCGUAGUCUUAACCAUAAACUAUGCCGACUAGGGAUCGGAUGAUGUUAAUUUUUAAUGACUCAUUCG